UUACAGUCAAAUCAUGCUGAAAACACUGGUUUUCGUACGAUCACCAAAGUUAAACAUCAUAGAGCCAGGCCAGUACCUAGAUGGGGGACCACUUGGAAACACCUGGUACUGUAAG
rnacentral:rRNA from 1 species